CUAAGCUUUAAAUGGGAGUGAGCAUUACAAUAAAGGCCACUAUCUGUUUAACAAAGUCAACCACAACUUCAGAGUCAUUUUUCAAAGUAAAUUCACGCAGAUGGUGUAUUGACGAUGACCGAACUGGGCGUUGGGCUGUCGUAGUGGAAAGUCGCAGUUAAAAUCUUGCUAGUGGCAACAGGGAUAUGUAUCGUGACUGGAUGUCGGAUACUAGUCGACUUAGCUGUGAAUGAGUACCUGAGCCAAAACAGGGUAAUAAUAGCGGAAGAACGCAAUGCUGACCACAUUGCAUCCUACAGGGAUUCAAUUGGAUUGUCAAACCAACAACUACAUUAUUUAUUCAGUAUACAAAGAAGAAAAGGAAAAUACUCAGGAAAAUUUUUGGAGUCAUAAACUGUACCAGUUAUUUGACUACCGAUCAGCAUCGAUUUUAGUCAAAUUUUGGAAACUACAGUGGGUUUGCCGCAUAGAUCAAAUGUGCAAGACAAAGAUUCCUAAACGAGUGCUAAAAGGCAGAGUCCAUUGUAAGCGACCAAAAGAAAAAACAGAGAAAGGUUGGAAAGAUUUAACUGACGCAGAUUACAGAUUCUUUCUAAGAUUUAGAAAAUGGAAGGUGCGGUCAUCAGAUCGAGAUAAUUGGAGGGUGUACAUUACAGUAGGCAAGAUUCGAUUUCAAUCACAACGACAUCGGAGAAAGAAUAUUAUGCUUUUGCAGAUUGCAAGUUUUACCAUCAGUUGCCUAUUGACAUCUACCAAAUCUUUGAUUACAACAUUGGUCAUAUAGAAAAUAUGGACGGUCAAGUGACAAAUAUGUAAAUUUUUAUGAUUUUUUAAAAAUCUGCUUCGCCUUUGAAGAUAGGAAAAUAUCCUAGACCUUCAGAUGCUUCCCAUAUUCCAGACUUUAAGAUACUUCCUCGAUUGUGAGGGCAGCGCUAUCAAAUAAAUAAGGAGAAUCACUAAUCAUUUCAGCCACUCUGAUAAUUUACGGAAAUCUGGCGGGAGAAAUCGUAAUAAUAUGGCCUCUUCAGCCCAAAGCAAAUAUCAGCGCUCUGAAUACCAAAUAAGGAGAAACCAAAGAUUGAUAUCGAAUGUACGUCCAAGGCUAAAUAAUUCCAAUCGAUCUGAAACAACGCAAUUGUCGGUCGUUUAUAAAGCAUACAAUGAUUUUUGACUUCUUCCUUCCGUCAUUUUCAAUCUCAGAACUACGUGAACCUGUGUUGCUAGGCAAUAUUCGGCCAACUUCUCGUGAAAGUGUUUUCUAUCUUCUCAAUUAUUCUGGUCUCCUUUUGAUUUCAUUUUUACCUUUGUGUGCGGAGUGAUGAAAGCAUUUUUUUUUUGAGUGGUUUAACCUGUGGAAGCAUACAAAAACAGUAAUUGAUAAAUUAUGGUCAACAGAAGGAGAGAAAGAGCUCCGCCAUGCUGUGUAUGCAACAUGCUGGGCCCAACCCUAGAUAAAGGAGGAGAAUCUCAGGCAACAUAUUUAAUACUAUCCCCUGCAAAAUUUGCAGAAAUCAGGGAAAGCAUAGCUGGGAUAACUUCAA